rnacentral:rRNA from 1 species
AUUGAACGCUGGCGGCGUGCCUAACACAUGCAAGUCGAGCGGCAGCGCGGGAGCAAUCCUGGCGGCGAGCGGCGGACGGGUGAGUAAUGCUUGGGAAUCUGCCUGUUAGUGGGGGACAACCCGGGGAAACUCGGGCUAAUACCGCAUACGCACUACGGUGGAAAGCCGGGGACCGCAAGGCCUGGCGCUAACAGAUGAGCCCAAGUCGGAUUAGCUAGUUGGUAGGGUAACGGCCACCAAGGCGACGAUCCGUAACUGGUCUGAGAGGACGACCAGUCACACCGGAACUGAGACACGGUCCGGACUCCUACGGGAGGCAGCAGUGGGGAAUCUUGCGCAAUGGGCGAAAGCCUGACGCAGCGACGCCGCGUGAGGGAUGACGGCCU